UACAGAGGUCCCAAGCGUUGUUCGGAUUCACUGGGCGUAAAGGGUGCGUAGGCGGUCGGGUAAGUCUGAUGUGAAAUCUCACAGCUUAACUGUGAAACUGCAUUGGAUACUAUUCGGCUUGAGAGUUGGAGGGGGACUGGAAUUCUUGGUGUAGCAGUGAAAUGCGUAGAUAUUGGGAAGAACACCGGUGGCGAAGGCGGCGACCUGGUCCGACACUGACGCUGAGGCGCGAAAGCGUGGGGAGCAAACAGG
rnacentral:rRNA from 1 species